UACGUAGGGUGCAAGCGUUAAUCGGAAUUACUGGGCGUAAAGCGUGCGCAGGCGGUUUGCUAAGACCGAUGUGAAAUCCCCGGGCUUAACCUGGGAACUGCAUUGGUGACUGGCAAACUAGAGUGUGGCAGAGGGGGGUAGAAUUCCCGGUGUAGCGGUGAAAUGCGCAGAUAUCGGGAGGAACACCGGUGGCGAAGGCGGUUCUCUGGGCCUGUGCUGACGCUGAGGAGCGAAAGCGUGGGGAGCGAACAGG
rnacentral:rRNA from 1 species